UGAACGCUGGCGGCGUGCCUAAUACAUGCAAGUCGAGCGAACGGACGAGAAGCUUGCUUCUCUGAUGUUAGCGGCGGACGGGUGAGUAACACGUGGAUAACCUACCUAUAAGACUGGGAUAACUUCGGGAAACCGGAGCUAAUACCGGAUAAUAUUUUGAACCGCAUGGUUCAAAAGUGAAAGACGGUCUUGCUGUCACUUAUAGAUGGAUCCGCGCUGCAUUAGCUAGUUGGUAAGGUAACGGCUUACCAAGGCAACGAUGCAUAGCCGACCUGAGAGGGUGAUCGGCCACACUGGAACUGAGACACGAUCCAGACUCCUACGGGAGGCAGCAGUAGGGAAUCUUCCGCAAUGGGCGAAAGCCUGACGGAGCAACGCCGCGUGAGUGAUGAAGGUCUUCGGAUCGUAAAACUCUGUUAUUAGGGAAGAACAUAUGUGUAAGUAACUGUGCACAUCUUGACGGUACCUAAUCAGAAAGCCACGGCUAACUACGUG
rnacentral:rRNA from 1 species